rnacentral:snRNA from 1 species
UUAGGCAGCCUAUGUACAACACAAUUAGAACUAUCCACAGAGGAUUAGCAUGACCCCUAUGCAGGGACAACACAUAAGUUUGUGAAGUGUUCCAUAUUUAA